CUCAAAUUUAUGUGAUCAAGAUGUCACUAGCUUUAGUAGAACAAAACUUCCGUGCAUGGAUUUUCUCAGUCUGCCUGAAGUGGUUCAUUUUUGUCCUCAACACCAUAAGAAUCAAAGUUUGCCAUUACCGCAAGCAAUCUAGACAACAGGAAGCAGAUAAUGGGACAUUUCUGUCUUCACUAAAGAGGGCUCACAUUAAAUUGCUUGUAGGUCUUUGGAAAGGUCAGUCAAAGCUUAAGCAGCCCCCUGUUGUUUGACAACAUCAGAGCUCAAACACUGUGGUCCUGGAGAACUCUGCUCUUUGAAAAGGGGGAUGUUUAAUUACCUUUUGAAAGCUGGCAGCAGGACAGGAUGCAAGGAUGUUUUCUUUCUUUUGUGUCAGUUGAACAAGUUACUAUUUUGGUACAUGAGAGCGAGUAACCCACUGCACUAGAGGAGACUGUCCCUUCCUCUGACCUGCUGUCAGGAGAAAAGCAAAGACAGGAGGAUAUUAGUGAAGCAUUGUCAGGGAAUUUUUUUCCUGACUUGAUAGAUGGAAUGCCUUGGGGAGGGGGCAGUUUGGUGGUUGAAUAGGAGACAUAAGAAGAUCCGUCUCACCUAUGGCACAUUAUCUGCUGGAAAUACUUGCACUUUAUUUCUGACACUGUGAACAUGAGAUGCUUUUAAAUCUUUAAGCCCACAAGCUUUCAGGGGUUAAUAUAUCUGUGAGUUUUUUACUCAGCGCUACACUAGCAUCUUUCUGAUGAAGGAACCAUUUUAGAAGAAAAUGAGCUUUGUUAAGGAGUGUUGUCUGUCUCCCUCUGCUCGCAGCUCCCAGGUAAGAGUUGCCGUGCCUUGCAUCUCUCCUCCCAGCAUUAUUUACUGCAGUGAGAACUUGCUGCUUGUGUAGAUGGAACAAAUGAUCGUGGGAUGGGGUCUGCCCCACAAGGAUGCCAGUCAGGGUCAGAUCUUUAUACUUCUGUGCAAGCCAACACAAGUAUUCCUACUGGGACCAUUUUGCCUGUAAGAGCCAAAGAUUUUAAGGCUAGAUAUGAAUCAUGUUUUCCCAUAUGCAUAGAACAAGCCAUGGAGCAGCACAGUGCAAUUUCUGCAUCAAGCCCAGCACGACUAUUUGAACCCCAGCACCUUUUCAGAAAGCCAGCCGCAACUUCAAGCUGCAAGUGACAGCAAGUCUACAGCAUCCAUGUAUAAACUUACCCUGGCAUUGGAUUCUGAUCUGAAUUUCUUUAUCCUCUGCUCCAGAAUGUAAGCUGUCCUCAUGCUUCUCUUUUUUCCACAGACUGUUAAACUAAAAAGAUGUUGGAUAAUGGAAAAUUUCUAACUUUUUUUUCCAUCAGUUUAAGCAUUGUCACCCCACCUCAAGUCCCUCCUCCCCCAAUAAUCCAGUUAUUAUAUGUAUAUCUAAUCCAUUAAUUCAUUUCAUUUAUAAGAAAAGAUAAAAACACGAAAAGAUUAAAAUGAAUUGAUGUUCUCUGCCACACCCAGCCCAACACAUGCUCAGUCCAAGUUCUGAUACUAAAUCUUACUUCUCCAUUCAUAGAGUCACAUCAUAGAAUCAAAGAAACAGAGAACUGUUAAGGUUGGAAAAGAACUCUGAGACCAUCAAGUCCAUCCAUCAAUUCAUCACCACCAUGCCCACUAAACCAUGUCCCCAGAUAGAAUCAUAGAAUCAUAGAAUAAUAAUCAUUCUGGAUUACAACAGUUUUCACCUUAUUUUGCAGCUCUUACUGCCAGCUUGCUAUCAGAGAAUAUUGCCUCAUAACUGCAUUUGAGGUGACUUCCAGUUGUGCUACAUGAUCCGAUCCUUACUAUGUAAGCCACCAAUGCAGUCAUGUCUUGUGGGAUUACUGCAAGAUUCAUCCAUGCUUGUAAUGCUAAGAUAAGACAAAGGCCAUCAAAGCAGAAUAUGUUAUUAAUUAGUAAUUAGAUAACUACAAUGAAUUAAAAUGGGUUGGAAGAAGUCUUUCAUUCUGCAUUGAACCCUUCUUUCGAAAUAAAGGGUGGUUUCCUUACAGGGAAAACCAUAAGAAAAAAAUCAAUCAAAAUAAACAUAUGCUAAUUAUACUCCUGGGCCUGCUUACAUGUCAAAACUAUUUUGAAAAUAUUGCUUCAUUGUUGAGGGUUAGUGUAGUUUAACAGCCAGUGGCGGAACAUGUCCUAAGUAGGGAUUUUCCAUUGCAUACAGCAAUUACAGACAAUUGACAUUUGAUUAUAAUAACCAGCAAACUUUCAUGAAAUAAAUGACACCUGAGCAAGUUUCAUAACCUUUUGCCUCGCCCCACCUUGGAAUGCGUCAGCGCUGCUUGAAGGCUAGGAAUGUUUCUUUCGCUUGCAAACAGAAUUAUUUCAAACCAAGGGAGUGCAGAGCUGUCUGGAGACGGGCUCUGAUAGCCAGCCUGUGUGCUGUGUCCAGUGGCUUUUAGACCUAUUUACUUAUGUGCUGUUCAGAAUACAUGGCAAGGAGCAAAAUGACACAGGGCCUGGACUGUCUUCCACGUCUGUGUAGGGAUUGUAUCCUUGCAUCCAAAAAUGGAUCUAUUUCCUGGGUCUAUUCAACAAUGUCUUGUACUUACACCAGUUCUCUACUUACGUCAGUGAAGGAAGAGGCAAGGUGGUGCUUCCAAGUCAGGCUCAUUUUGCACAGGGAUGCAGGUAUAAUUCCACUGUUUUUAGUGCCUGCAUUUUGAGCGGCAGCAGACACUGCACAACCAUUCAGCUCUCUAACUGUUGGAAAUUUGCUUGCUUAAUGACCAAGUCUAGCUAAAUUACCAAAACUGCACAAAAAGUGGGCCAAGACAGUUAGAUCUGCUGGUGUCUCUGGCUAUGAAUAGUAAUGGGUGAAGACAUGGCACAAAAAAGACACAGCGUUGCUUCCAGCAAGGUUGGUAUAACUGUAUUUCCAUAGAUAGAAAGUUUCCAUUGCUAUCUCAGUCACACACAGUUCCCUCAUGGAAGCAAAGUUGACUUUAUUUGAAGUACAGCAACAAAGAAAGAGACUGAGAAAACAGAUUUGUACUAUCUCGAUGCUAGCUGGAGAAUGAAGCACUGCUACCACACUAUAUGCUGAGAUUUGUUGCCUAGAUUAUUGCUUUUCAGCACCUCCAAAUCUGUUCUUCCCUGCCAUAUAGCCACUGGUCUUCACUAUCAUCUAUUCUCCCUCUGGAUCUAAGGAGGUCACCAUCCCUGGAGGUGUUCAAGAAUUGUUUGGAUAUGGCACUGAAGGACAUGAUUUACCAGACAUGAUGGUGGUGGGUUGAUGGUUGGACUAGAUGAUCUUAUUGGUCUUUUCCAACCUUAAUGAUUCGAUGAUUCAUACCAAAGAGUGUAUCUGGAGCCGAGAAAUGUUAGUCUAUCUUGCUUCUCUUCCUUUCUGCUAGGAAGGAACAAACCCUUGCAGUUGCAGCAGUCAAUGUAACUGAUGUGAAUCAGGAUAACAGAGGCAGCAUGGAUAGUGUCUGGAAGAUAUUUCAGAUACUUAACGGCUGCACAGUGCUGAGAACACUUUUACAAUGUAAUAGGACAAUAUUUAUUAGGUGCCUGGCAAUCCCAUUGUUUUGUGCCCACUCUCAGUUUUUGCUAUUUUUUAAGAGACUGUGAAGUUUUUUCAUCUUACAUGUAAUGAAGAGCUUAACUGUUCUGACACCUGAACUUUUGAGAACUCUUAAGAACUCUUAAUUGCUCAGCUUAGAAAAAGUCUAGGCCCAGCACAGAACAGAUGUAUAGUAAUAAACUUAUCUCAUAAUG
ensembl:lncRNA